UUCUAUGGUCAUAUCCCCCUGAAUACUCCUGAUGUUGUCUGAUCUUGGAUGUUAAGCAGGGUCAGGCCUGGUUGGUACUCGGAUGGGAGAACUAAAGUGCCUGCCUUCAGGGAGCAUACAUU
rnacentral:rRNA from 1 species